rnacentral:rRNA from 1 species
UCCUACGGGGGGCAGCAGUGAGGAAUAUUGGUCAAUGGGCGGGAGCCUGAACCAGCCAAGUCGCGUGAGGGAAGACGGUCCUAUGGAUUGUAAACCUCUUUAGGCGGGGAGCAAUGCCGGGCACGCGUGCCCGGAGGGAGAGUACCCGCAGAAUAAGCAUCGGCUAACUCCGUGCCAGCAGCCGCGGUAAUACGGAGGAUGCGAGCGUUAUCCGGAUUUAUUGGGUUUAAAGGGUGCGUAGGCGGAUUUUUAAGUCAGCGGUAAAAUGUCCGGGCUCAACCCCGGCCGGCCGUUGAAACUGGGGG